UGGCGACCGGCGCACGGGUGAGUAACGCGUAUCCAACCUGCCCUUUACUAUGGGACAGCCCGUCGAAAGGCGGAUUAAUACCGUAUGUUGUCAUGUUGAUGCAUAUUUUCAUGACCAAAGGCUUCGGCCGGUAAAGGAUGGGGAUGCGUCUGAUUAGCUUGCCGGCGGGGGUAACGGGCCCACCGGGGCGACGAUCAGUAGGGGUUCUGAGAGGAAGGUCCCCCACACUGGUACUGAGACACGGACCAGACUCCUACGGGAGGCAGCAG
rnacentral:rRNA from 1 species